rnacentral:rRNA from 1 species
UGGUGGAGCAUGUGGUUUAAUUCGAUGCAACGCGAAGAACCUUACCUACUCUUGACAUCUAGAGAAUCCAGCGGAGACGCAGGAGUGCCUUCGGGAACUCUAAGACAGGUGCUGCAUGGCUGUCGUCAGCUCGUGUUGUGAAAUGUUGGGUUAAGUCCCGCAACGAGCGCAACCCUUAUCCUUGUUUGCCAGCGAGUAAUGUCGGGAACUCCAGGGAGACUGCCGGUGAUAAACCGGAGGAAGGUGGGGACGACGUCAAGUCAUCAUGGCCCUUACGAGUAGGGCUACACACGUGCUACAAUGGCGCAUACAGAGGGCAGCAAGCUAGCGAUAGUGAGCGAAUCCCAAAAAGUGCGUCGUAGUCCGGAUUGGAGUCUGCAACUCGACUCCANGAAGUCGGAAUCG